rnacentral:rRNA from 1 species
CCGCCGCGCGGGGCCUACGGGAGGCAGCAGUGGGGAAUAUUGCACAAUGGGCGCAAGCCUGAUGCAGCCAUGCCGCGUGUAUGAAGAAGGCCUUCGGGUUGUAAAGUACUUUCAGCGGGGAGGAAGGGAGUAAAGUUAAUACCUUUGCUCAUUGACGUUACCCGCAGAAGAAGCACCGGCUAACUCCGUGCCAGCAGCCGCGGUAAUA